rnacentral:rRNA from 1 species
CCUACGGGAGGCAGCAGUGAGGAAUAUUGGUCAAUGGGCUUACGCCUGAACCAGCCAAGUCGCGUGAGGGAAGACUGCCCUAUGGGUUGUAAACCUCUUUUGUCAGGGAGCAAUUGGCGCUACGUGUAGCGUUAUCGAGAGUACCUGAAGAAAAAGCAUCGGCUAACUCCGUGGCAGCAGCCGCGGUAAUACGGAGGAUGCGAGCGUUAUCCGGAUUUAUUGGGUUUAAAGGGUGCGUAGGCGGAAUGCCAAGUCAGCGGUAAAAUCGCGGGGCUCAACCUCGCUCCGCCGUUGAAACUGGCGUUCUUGAGUGGGCGAGAAGUAUGCUGAAUGCGUGGUGUAGCGGUGAAAUGCAUAGAUAUCACGCAGAACUCCGAUUGCGAAGGCAGCAUACCGGCGCCCAACUGACGCUGAAGCACGAAAGCGUGGGUAUCGAACAGGAUUAGAUACCCUGGUAGUC